ACCGUUACCGUCACCCUUGUCAUCCUUAUCACUCUUCGCUCAUACCCAAACACUUCCUUCUCUAUAUAUAACAUCCAAACACCCUUCCCCUACUUCAUCUAAACCAAAGCACGCACAUACCAAACACAAAUCAUCAUUAACAAACAAAAAACAUCCAAGCUACACAAUUUCACAGCCCAGUUCAACGAAGCCCAACACUCUCAACUCUUUGAGGGACUUGUCAUGUUAAUGGACACGUAAUGAAUAACCCAUCACGAGAUAUGUGUAUGUUUUCGUUUUGCCUUUGUUAGCAUUCUCGAUAUUCCAAAGCAAUACGACGUCGCUGGUUGUCUGAAUUAAACAUUUGACUAUGUAUCUGUUUUCCCUGUCUUUUUAUUUUGUUUUAUUUUUAUUUUGUGUUUGUAUUAGUUCUCAAUGUUUCAGCGUGCUGCUUCUUUAAUUGGAUUACUUUUUUUAAUUAAAAGGUUUCAUCAUGGAUUUUUUUUUUUUU